rnacentral:rRNA from 1 species
AGUAAUGUAUGGGGAUCUGCCUGAUGGCGGGGGAUAACUACUGGAAACGGUAGCUAAUACCGCAUAAUGUCUGCGGACCAAAGCGGGGGACCUCCGGGCCUCGCGCCAUCAGAUGAACCCAUAUGGGAUUAGCUUGUAGGUAAGGUAACGGCUUACCUAGGCGACGAUCCCUAGCUGGUCUGAGAGGAUGAUCAGCCACACUGGGACUGAGACAUGGCCCAG